rnacentral:rRNA from 1 species
ACUCAAAGGAAUUGACGGGGGCCCGCACAAGCGGUGGAGCAUGUGGUUCAAUUCGACGCAACGCGAAGAACCUUACCUGGGUUGGAACCCUCCAGAAGUCCCCAGAGAUGGGGAUGUGCCCGCAAGGGAGCUGGAUGUCCAGGUGCUGCAUGGCUGUCGUCAGCUCGUGUCGUGAGAUGUUGGGUUAAGUCCCGCAACGAGCGCAACCCUUGUCGUUAGUUGCCAGCGGUUCGGCCGGGCACUCUAACGAGACUGCCGGUGUUAAACCGGAGGAAGGUGGGGAUGACGUCAAGUCCUCAUGGCCCUUAUGCCCAGGGCUACACACGUGCUACAAUGGUCGGUACAAAGGGUCGCAAAGCCGCGAGGCCAAGCUAAUCUCAAAAAACCGACCUCAGUUCAGAUUGAAGUCUGCAACUCGACUUCAUGAAGUCGGAAUCGCUAGUAAUCCCUGAUCAGCAGGCAGGGGUGAAUACGUUCCCGGGCCUUGCACACACCGCCCGU